rnacentral:rRNA from 1 species
UACGGGGGGAGCAAGCGUUGUUCGGAUUUACUGGGCGUAAAGGGCGCGUAGGCGGCUUGUAUAGUCGGAUGUGAAAUUCCUGGGCUUAACCUGGGGGCUGCAUACGAGACGUAUGGGCUUGAGUGCGGAAGAGGGUCGUGGAAUUCCCAGUGUAGAGGUGAAAUUCGUAGAUAUUGGGAAGAACACCGGUGGCGAAGGCGGCUCUCUAGUACGUGACUGACGCUGAGACGCGAAAGCGUGGGGAGCGAACAGG